UUCUCGUUAGAUCACCGAAGUCAAGCAUCAUUGGGCGCGGUCAGUACUUGGGUGGGUGACCACCUGGGAACACUGCGUGCCGUCG